AAGUGGAUCCUCGAUGAACUGCAGCUUUUAACACUUCCCCAUUGGACAAUAUUUUUAGACCGGAGGUUGCCGCUUGGUACUCCCACAAUGCCUUUCUUAAAGAAGCAUGUGUUUCGUAGUGCUCCAAAAGGACCUCCUGUGUUAGGAGUGGAGAAACAUUGUCGACAUCAUAUAAUACUAUCAGAUUCAACAGAGAUCCUCCAGCACACAGUCCAUACAGCAGGAACAGCCAUCCACACAAUCAGCAGAGAGCAGCAGUUUGAAAUCGAGCAUGACAGCCUGCUGUGUGACAGUGUCGCCUUGCAGACAUGGCCGAACACAAAUCAUCCAACAUGCUGUUUUCUUUGAUCCUUCCUUCAGCACAUUACUGCGAGCCUCUGUGUGCAUAUUAGCUGCUUUCUCACUCACCACACCGUCACUUUCCAUCCUCCGACGCUGGCUUCUUCUCCGCUGUUAAUAUUCUCUCUCUCGCCGCAUAACUCAGGGGAUCAAUCACCGGUUGCCAUGGCAAUAAUACCCCCACCCAUGCAGGUGUAUGUGUGAGCAUGACUCUUCCUAUCUGUGUGUAUGUUUGUGUGUUUGAGCUGUAUCUGCUUUUCAGCACCAGUCAGAGCAGUGAGGCCUCCGUUGGUGACGCCGCUCCCCUGCACUGCCCCUGCAUGCGGAGCGGCUUUGACAGCUGUCUGCUCGAGAUGCUCUCACCUGCCACACUCGGCUUCCUCUCGGCUCCGUGCAGAAUAAUGACUGAACUCAAAGGAGAAGAGGAUACAUACACGUCGCUGCCAGGCUUGUUUUGUUUCUUAUAGGUUAAGAAACACUUUUUAUGAAGGCUACUUAUUGAAACACCUUUCAAAUGUUUGAAAUAGCUUGAGUGAAAGAAGCUCUGGGGUCAAAGAACCAUCAUGUUCAAUAUUUAUGUCCUGAUGGUGAAUAGGCAAACUUGAGGUUGAGGAUAUAAACAAAGAGCCAGUGUUCAUACAGCUUUGUUAUGCAACCGUAUGUACACACAACAGUCAUAAAGUAAAAAAGUUUUCAACUGUCA